rnacentral:rRNA from 1 species
UGGGGAAUUUUGGACAAUGGGGGAAACCCUGAUCCAGCCAUCCCGCGUGUGCGAUGAAGGCCUUCGGGUUGUAAAGCACUUUUGGCAGGAAAGAAACGUCGCGGGUUAAUACCCCGCGAAACUGACGGUACCUGCAGAAUAAGCACCGGCUAACUACGUGCCGGCAGCCGCGGUAAUACGUAGGGUGCAAGCGUUAAUCGGAAUUACUGGGCGUAAAGCGUGCGCAGGCGGUUCGGAAAGAAAGAUGUGAAAUCCCAGAGCUUAACUUUGGAACUGCAUUUUUAACUACCGGGCUAGAGUGUGUCAGAGGGAGGUGGAAUUCCGCGUGUAGCAGUGAAAUGCGUAGAUAUGCGGAGGAACACCGAUGGCGAAGACAGCCUCCUGGGAUAACACUGACGCUCAUGCACGAAAGCGUGGGGAGCAAACAGGAUUAGAUACCCUGGUAGUCCACGCCCUAAACGAUGUCAACUAGCUGUUGGGGCCUUCGGGCCUUGGUAGCGCAGCUAACGCGUGAAGUUGACCGCCUGGGGAGUACGGUCGCAAGAUU